GCCCGGCUAGCUCAGUCGGUAGAGCAUUCGACUCUUAUGAGCUCAUGUUGGCUUGCCAUCCUUGCCAUCGAAUUGUCGUGGGUUCGAGCCCCACGUUGGGCG